rnacentral:rRNA from 1 species
UGGGGGAUAUUGCACAAUGGGCGAAAGCCUGAUGCAGCGACGCCGCGUGGGGGAUGAAGGCUUUCGGGUUGUAAACCUCUUUCGCUAUCGAACAAGGCCCGCUUAGGGUGGGUUGAGGGUAGGUGGAGAAGAAGCGCCGGCUAACUAUGUGCCAGCAGCCGCGGUAAUACGUAGGGCGCGAGCGUUGUCCGGAAUUAUUGGGCGUAAAGGGCUUGUAGGCGGCUUGUUGCGCCUGCUGUGAAAACGCGGGGCUUAACUUCGCGCGUGCAGUGGGUACGGGCAGGCUUGAGUGUGGUAGGGGUGACUGGAAUUCCAGGUGUAGCGGUGGAAUGCGCAGAUAUCUGGAGGAACACCGAUGGCGAAGGCAGGUCACUGGGCCAUUACUGACGCUGAGGAGCGAAAGCAUGGGUAGCGAACAGG